GUCGAUCCUAAGAGAUAGCAGAAAUCCGUUGCAAGGCGGGCAUUGGAUUCUUGGCAUCUGCCUUUUGUCUUUGCCCCUUCUAUCGAAAGGGAAUCGGGUUAAUAUUCCCGAACCAGGACGUGGAUGUUGAGUGGUAACACAAGCAAAGCCGGGGACGACGGCGGGGGCCCCGACAAGAGUUGUCUUUUCUUGUUAACAGGUGCACCGACCCUGGAAUCGGAUUGACCGGAGAUAGGGUUGGCGGCCUGGGAAAGGCGGUUACUUUUUGACCGUUUCGGUGCGCCCUCGACGUUCCUUGAAAACCUGGUGGCGUGUCUUAUUCGCACCCCUGGUCGUACUCAUCACCGCAUCAGGUCUCCAAGGUUAGCAGCCUCUAGUCGAUAGAAGAAUGUAGAUAAGGGAAGUCGGCAAACUAGAUCCGUAACUUCGGGAAAAGGAUUGGCUCUGAGGGUUGGGCCUUUUCCAACGUGUCUUGUCACAUUACCGACGGUCGCCUUCCAGGCUACUGCCAGGGACUGCAAUGACACAUCCAUCCUUGGGUGGUGUCGAUGCGGACCCUUGCGGCGGCCCUUCCGUCGGUCUCUGCUUGUGGCGAGGCGCAUCCGACUCUCUCGUAGUGCCGGCUGCAGCACGUUGGGGCACUGAACAACCAGCUCAGAACUGGAGCGGACAAGGGGAAUCCGACUGU
rnacentral:rRNA from 1 species